rnacentral:rRNA from 1 species
UGGGGAAUUUUGGACAAUGGGCGACCNUUUAUGAUCCANCAAUGCCGCGUGUGCGAAGAAGGCCUUCGGGUUGUAAAGCACUUUUGUCAGGAACGAAAAGUUUGGCUCUAAUACAGUCGGACGAUGACGGUACCUGAAGAANANGGGGNGGCUAACUACGUGCCAGCAGCCGCGGUAAUACGUAGGGUGCAAGCGUUAAUCGGAAUUACUGGGCGUAAAGCGUGCGCANGCGGUUGUGUAAGACAGAUGUGAAAUCCCCGGGCUUAACCUGGGAAUUGCAUUUGUGACUGCACGACUANAGUGUGUNCANAGGGGGGUGGAAUUCCACGUGUANCAGUGAAAUGNNUAGAUAUGUGGAGGAACNCCAAUGGCCGAAGGGGGGGGGGGGGGANAACACUGACGCUCAUGCACGAAAGCGUGGGGAGCAAACAGGAUUAGAUACCCUGGUAGUCCANGCCCUAANNCAAUGUCAACUAGGUUGUUGGGGAUNUAUUUCCCUUGGNUAACGUAGCUUAACGUNGNGGAAGUUUGACCCGCCUUGGGGGANGUACGGCC